AGAGAUGCAGGGAACCACCACGUUGUACGGCAACCAACGUGCCGCCCCUCUGUGGGCGGGGAUUCACACUAGCUGUCUGUGUCAAGGCCACGCAGAAAUCUAUUGGAAAUCGCUGUGGAAACAAACGCAAAUGAAAAGCCGCAAAGAGCAAAGGAAUUGGCUCAUGUGAUUAAGGCAGAGAGGCCCUGCAAUCUGCCAUCUGCAAGCUGGAAAACCAGGACAGCUGGUCGUAUAAGCCCUAGUCUGAGUCCAGAGUCCCAAGAACCAGGAGUGCUGAUAUUCAAG
rnacentral:lncRNA from 1 species